AUACGGAGGGUGCAAGCGUUAAUCGGAAUUACUGGGCGUAAAGCGCGUGUAGGCGGCUUGCCAAGUUGGAUGUGAAAGCCCAGGGCUCAACCUUGGAAUUGCAUUCGAUACUGCUUGACUAGAGUAUGGUAGAGGGAAGUGGAAUUUCCGGUGUAGCGGUGAAAUGCGUAGAUAUCGGAAGGAACACCAGUGGCGAAGGCGACUUCCUGGGCCAAUACUGACGCUGAGGUGCGAAAGCGUGGGGAGCAAACAGGAUUAGAUACCCCGGUAGUCC
rnacentral:rRNA from 1 species